AGAGCAAGAACAAUAAUUUUUACAAUGUUAUCCGAAAAGAUUUUACAAUGUAUCAGAGUAAAUGUUAUAAUAUAUCAGAGAAAAUUUCACACUGUAUCAGAGCAAAUAUCAGAGAAACUUUCACACUGUAUCAGAUUAAAUUUUAUCAUGUAUCAGAGCAAGUUCAAAGAAAUUUUAGGGUGUAUCAGAGUAAAUCAAAUUUCUUAAGAUGUAUCAAGGU
rnacentral:lncRNA from 1 species